rnacentral:rRNA from 1 species
CACGGGGAGGUAGUGACGAAAAAUAACGAUACGGGACUCAUCCGAGGCCCCGUAAUCGGAAUGAGUACACUCUAAAUCCUUUACCAAGGAUCAAUUGGAGGGCAAGUCUGGUGCCAGCAGCCGCGGUAAUUCCAGCUCCAAUAGCGUAUAUUAAAGUUGUUGCGGUUAAAAAGCUCGUAGUCGAAUGUGUGUCCCGCGCCGCUGGUUCAUCGCUCGCGGUGUUCAACUGGCGUGUCUCGCGGGACGUCCUGCCGGUGGGCUCUUCGAAUUGGUCGCUUGCGGUCGUUCGAGGCCCUACUCGUUUCCGACUUGUCGGUUGCGAAUCCUAUCGCGGUGCUCUUUAUUGAGUGUCGAGGUGGGCCGGCACGUUUACUUUGAACAAAUUAGAGUGCUUAAAGCAGGCCAAUUUUGCCUGAAUAUUGUGUGCAUGGAAUAAUGGAAUAGGACCUCGGUUCUAUUUUGUUGGUUUUCUGAACCCCGAGGUAAUGAUUAAUAGGAACGGAUGGGGGCAUUCGUAUUGCGACGUUAGAGGUGAAAUUCUUGGAUCGUCGCAAGACGGACAGAAGCGAAAGCAUUUGCCAAAAACGUUUUCAUUGAUCAAGAACGAAAGUUAGAGGUUCGAAGGCGAUCAGAUACCGCCCUAGUUCUAACCAUAAACGAUGCCAGCUAGCGAUCCGCCGACGUUCCUCCGAUGACUCGGCGGGCAGCUUCCGGGAAACCAAAGCUUUUGGGUUCCGGGGGAAGUAUGGUUGCAAAGCUGAAACUUAAAGGAAUUGACGGAAGGGCACCACCAGGAGUGGAGCCUGCGGCUUAAUUUGACUCAACACGGGAAACCUCACCAGGCCC